rnacentral:rRNA from 1 species
UGGGGAAUAUUGCACAAUGGGCGCAAGCCUGAUGCAGCCAUGCCGCGUGUGUGAAGAAGGCCUUCGGGUUGUAAAGUACUUUCAGCGGGGAGGAAGGGAGUAAAGUUAAUACCUUUGCUCAUUGACGUUACCCGCAGAAGAAGCACCGGCUAACUCCGUGCCAGCAGCCGCGGUAAUACGGAGGGUGCAAGCGUUAAUCGGAAUUACUGGGCGUAAAGCGGACGCAGGCGGUUUGUUAAGUCAGAUGUGAAAUCCCCGGGCUCAACCUGGGAACUGCAUCUGAUACUGGCAAGCUUGAGUCUCGUAGAGGGGGGUAGAAUUCCAGGUGUAGCGGUGAAAUGCGUAGAGAUCUGGAGGAAUACCGGUGGCGAAGGCGGCCCCCUGGACGAAGACUGACGCUCAGGUGCGAAAGCGUGGGGAGCAAACAGG